rnacentral:rRNA from 1 species
CAGCGCCUCAAGUGGUCAGGAUGAUUAUUGGGUCUAAAGCAUCCGUAGCCGGCGCUGUAAGUUUUCGGUUAAAUCUGUACGCUCAACGUACAGGCUGCCGGGAAUACUGCAGCGCUAGGGAGUGGGAGAGGUAGACGGUACUCGGUAGGAAGGGGUAAAAUCCUUUGAUCUAUUGAUGACCACCUGUGGCGAAGGCGGUCUACCAGAACACGUCCGACGGUGAGGGAUGAAAGCUGGGGGAGCAAACCGGAUUAGAUCCCCGCGUAGUCC